rnacentral:lncRNA from 13 species
CUCUCAAUAGGGUCUCCAAAGUCAAAACUAUACUAAAGAUUAUUUGCUAUUUUCUUGCUCAUUCACUUACAAGCUGUUAAAAAACGCACGCUUUGAAAGAGGAGACUCCCCAAGCAGGCUUUGUGUGAGCAAAAUAGCUGUUUAUUUACCUGGGCACAUGUGGGCUAAGGCAGAAAAGGGCGUUACCAAAGGGCGGUGGGAUAGUUUUCUUUUUUUUUUUUCUUCGAAGAAAAUCACUUUAUUCUAAUUAACUCACAAAGAAUAAAAUCAUAACAGCUAGUUUAAGGAGACCACAUAAACAUUUGACCAACUCCAAAUUCUACAGAGUAGGAACACUCCCUUCCAUUUCAAUUCUGAAGCAAGGAAGCUAGGAAUGACAGGAGAGGUUUAACUGAGGGCUACACUUUUUACUUUCACUAUCAAUUAAAUUUUUAUAUUAAAUUAAUUUGGUUAUGAGAGCUGGUUUUCCAUUUCUCCAGGCUGAACUUCUUGAUUAGGUCAAUCCGUUUGCAAGUCGGCACUGUUUCAGCCCUCACUGAAACCCUCACAGAGCUUGGUUCUGGGCACACUCCAAGAACUGUUUGAUCUCAUAGAGAAGCAAGGCUGCUGCUGAUGUGCCGGCUGGGUUCCCUGAGGCUCCUGGUAAGUGAUGUCAGGCCUCGCAGGCUUAGGAUCACUUCCUCCACUGAAGCCCCCAGUAAUGGCGUGGCCCAGUGUGUGCCCCACAGCAGAGCCCACAGCCACGCCAGCUGCGGUGGUUGCCAUCUGGGACAGCAGACCUGGCUGCCAGGGCGCAGCAGCAGAGAGCCAACUGCAGAGGGGGGUGCCGCUACUGGUGGCUGAGCGGCUGGUGCUGGCCUGGGCGCAGCUCUCAUCUGAGGGACCCGGCUGGCCGGAGGGGCCAUGCGUGAGGUCCGAUGCAUACCCUGGAAGCCGUCAGCAACAACGAAUACACUACAGAUAACCACGGAUCCUACAGUGUGAGGUUUGGUCCCACCCAGAAAGUUGGGAGCCAAAUGCGUGGCUAAGUGGAGAUGGCCAGGGUUUGGGUGAGGGGCAAAGGCGAGUUGAAAGCACUGGAGAGACAGGCCCGACUCUGUGCUAGGGAACACACCUCCUUCCUUUGCAUACUUAAUACAAGAAGCUAUAAAUCCUUCUCUUGCUGGUCAGGACAUAACCUGGACCAAACGGGAAAUUUUAUUUUAUUUUUUUUAUAACACCAUGCCUCAAAAGUGCAACCAACAAACGGGAAAUUUAAGGCAAAAUAAAAGCAGAGCAUAACUUGGACUAAAGGGAAAA